UCUUCGUCAGCGGUCAAUAAUAUAAUUUAUCAAUAAUUUAAUAUUCAUUGGGUCAUUUUUGGAACAAUAAGAACAGAACCAAUUAUGUUCAGUAUUUUCAGUUUUGAACCAAUUUUCGCAAGUAAAAUAUUCCUAACCUAACCUUACGCUGCGACAAAUUCGGCCGCAUUCCUGAGUGGCCUAGUCCCAGACUGUUGGGUUCAACGACAACCAGGGUUGAUUAUACUUUACCUUUCCACAAAUUGAUCACAUUUCUUAGGCCAGCCACUAACUUUAUGAUAGCUGAAUAUUUGUGACUGUACAGAUAAGAUCUGGAACGUUUUCCUGCAAGUGCCAGUCACUUCCAAAGCAGGUGUAUAUUACGGUACCGCAGUUUGUGUGCUUUUGCAGUUCAGGUGUUACAGUUAGAUGACUGCCUGUCAGUCGAAUCUGUUAUGUCUGAUUAAUUCAAACAAAACAUUAGUGACAGGCCUAACAGAGUGUUCUGAAAAAAGGUGCCCAUAAGUCAGGGCGUGAUUCUUCACAUCAAAAGAAAAAAAAAUCUAAUUAACAUAGGUCUGAGAAUGCUUGGUUACCAAGUUAUACAGAGUGGAAGAUUUCGUCUGAAUUUCAGUUCCCCUGUUGAAACAAAGCCCUACAGGUGACCAGCUGACUGAACCUACUUAUGGAACGAUGCCGUUUUCAUGUGGUCGGGGCACCCUAGAGAGUGAGAAGACUGCGCUUCUAUUUGAUGCGAGCAAAAAGGUGGAGGUGAUUUCAAAAACGUCGGGGAGCGCUCAUGACGGAAUUGUUUCCAAUUUAAUUAGGACAAAUUACAAAGGAUAGUUUAAAAUAAUAUGUUUUUAUUGUAUUGUAAAAUAAAAAUAACAGUAAUGUUGGUAAGGUCUUUCUUCUAUAAAUUCCUUAUUCCCAAAAAAUAAUUGGUUUGAUGAAUAGAUUGUAGCUUUCAAUGAAAUCGGAGAUAGAAUGCAUAACCGUUAUAUAGAUUCACAUCAAACUGUCAGCAUUCCUUAUCAAUAACAUCAAUUCUGUUAAUUCAACUAAUGCUGACAUUAGAGUGAGCCCAAGUAUAAACUGUUUACAUAAUUAUAACCAGAUGACGAUUCGUCAAUUUAUCACAUCUGAAUUAUUAGAGUUUCUAUCAUUCAUGACAUUUCAUCUCUCUUAUCACAGCUUUCAUUAUUAUGUAAAUAAUCUGAUUAGAGAUCGAAAUAUUAGGGAGUCUAACUUUCAAAUGUAUUGCAUAACUUGAAUUUGAAGUUAUGGAAGUGCGUAUUAAAAUUAUUUUGUUCAAAUUUAUCAUACUAAAGUUUAUUCUACAAUCAUUGGACACAAAACAACUUCACAAUAAAUUUGUAGACAAAUAUUAUUAGGCUUUUAUAUACUUCACCACUAUGAUUUACAUUUCAAAUUUUGCCCUAAUUGACGAAUUAAAUUCAGAUGAUUAUCCGACAGAUUGCAGAUCAUUAAAUGCUCCUAGCCAAUAGUAAAGCUCAAAGCAAACAUGAGGUGCGCCGCACCGCUCUUCUCAAAUCAACUUAGCAUUAACGGAGGCGAGCGCGCUUGAUUUUUAAUUUGGGAGGCGCGGCGCACCACAUAUGUGCGUUGAGCUUUCGGGUUCUUGUCAGCAACUGAUUAACAUUGGGUUGCUAUCCUUGUCUGUCAUUAGAGAAAGCAGAUAGCUCUAUCCUUUUCCAACCCUGUACCGUUACCAGAUUGGCACAGAUCUAACCUAUUAGUUUAGUUAGUCUAUGCCUUGAGUAAGAAACUCCAGAAAAUUGAUAAUGGAACAAGAUCUUAAAUUUUUCACAUACAUUCGAAUCUCUUAGACUUUUGUACACAAUUCAAGUGGAAUAAGUUGCACCAGAAAAAUCCUAUUGUUUUUCUAUGGUAGUACUACCAUAGUAGUAUGUAGUACUACCACAGUAUGCUGAAAUUGACAAGUGUUUUUUUCAAACUAAGUAGGUACAGCCAAAAAUGGAAUUUAAUAGAUUUUGGAUUAAAUUAUUAGUUUUUUGAUAGAACUAUAUACUACAUGUUUGUGAGGUUUCAAUACUCAAAAUAUAUCAAGGAUGGUGAAAUUAGUUUUACUUUUUGUGUAGUUAGAAGUAGAUAUUGUGGUAAUUAUUUAAAUUAAAUAAAAAGACCAAGAAAUUGUUAGAAACCACAGAUUUUGAUAAUAGAAAGACCGGUUUUGGUUCUUACACCAUUGUCAAUCUCUGAUAAACUCUAUCAAAAACUCUUUAAAAAAACUCUAAUCCGAAUAAACUCUGUUUAUCAGAGAUUGACAAUGGUGUAACAACCGAAACCGGUCUUUCUAACUAUCAAUAAAAUCUGUGGUUAUUGACAAUUUCUUAGUAAUUUUAUUUAAUGUGAAAUUAGUUCAUCAAAUAAUUGAAGCCUCCAUUCACAAUCACACUAUUGGUGUCAACUGUUUCGCUUCUUGUUACUAUAGUGGCAAUUAUAGUAGCGUUAAAAGGCAAUACAGUAUUUGAUUAACAUUGGUAUUACUAUCCUUGUACAUGAAUAAAUGCUGUCCAUGAAUAAUCCAAUGCUAUCCAUACUGUACAUGAAUAAACUUUGUAUAGUACCAUAUUAAUAUAUAUGCCUACCUGGCCACUUGAAAAUGGGAUGUAAAUGGAUGUCGUACUAAAAACGUGAUUCAGAAAAAUUAUUUUAUUAUACACUUUAUAGCCUACAUUAAUCAUUUGAAUCAGUUUAAGCUCCAUAUAUAAAUCAUAACACUUUUGUUAAAUGUCAAAUAUAGAGAUUUCAUAAACAUUCAGGUUGGACAAAGUAGGGGGAUCCUCAUCUUACAAUAUUUAUACAUCACAUCAGUUUCACUGAAAUUAUGUUUCAAGAAAAUAAAUUAAUAGAAGAGUAACUUGAAUUACAAAAAGAAUAAUCAAUGUGUAGAAUACAGUUUUGUAGAAAUAAGUCUCCAAUAAGAUUAUAAUCCACAUUUAACAAGUUACUUAGUGCUUUGCCAAGUAAUUUUUGAAGUUACUAAAGAAAUAAUAGCAUUUGGCUAUGAAACAGCCAAUCUCGAAUGUACUUCCAUAAUAUUAUUCUGAAAUUCUAGUAAAUUGAAUAAAAUCUAUACACAUUUUAAAGAGUGAGUUUUGCUUAAUUUAGAGAACCGAAUUGCAAUAAUGUAAAUGGGUUAGCCUUUGGCUUAAGGCUGAAAUUAAUCCACAGCUCAUUGCUGGCUUUCAAAUUUGAAAUAUUUCUCCAGUUCUUUAUUAAGCCUACUGGAUAAUAAUCCAUCUUCCAGUUGAUUUACUGUGUUAUUUUGAAGGUGAUGUUAUGAUCUGAUCUUCACAGUAACUGCCAAAAACAACAAUCAAAUAGUGAAGUGGAAAGUUUCAGAUGCAAGCAGAACAGCCUGCUCUUGGAGAAGUCUGGAAGUUGGACACCACAUUCGGGGUUGCCAAGUUGCAUGCACCGGAAACUGUCCCCUUACAAUGUGAUUGUACAGUCGGCAGUGAUUGCUAAGAUUGGAAUGCCACCUUUAAUUUUUCUAAGCACUUUUCAAUAUGCUUGUGAGCUGCUCCCUCCAUGUAGACAUACAAGACCAAUAUGACGAGUUAUGUUGGUAUUACAUUGUAUCAAUACAAUGAGAGAUAAAUUUUAAAAGAUAUAAUUAUAUACUUCAGAUUUAGAAAAAGUUCAACAUCAAGAUACUGUAGGCCUAACAAUCAACAGUAACCUUCAAACUAAGAUGCCUAUUUAGCUGGUAAAAUGAAUAACUAAUUCACUACCCGAUCUAAUGAAUUUUCACGAAAUAAAUAAUUAACUGUUUAAAAUGUUCAACUAAAUGCCUUUGAAGAAUAACUAUUUUUAUUGCAAAUUAAAUACAAUAUUCAAAAGUGAAUUUAAAAAGAUAACAUUGAAAAAACAACCAA